CCCUUAGAUGUUCUGGGCCGCACGCGCGCUACACUGAUGGAUUCAACGAGUGUUGUUCUUCGGAGCAGAUCCUUGGUCGGAAGGCCUGGGCAAUCUUGUAAAUGUCCAUCGUGAUGGGGCUAGAUUUUUGCAAUUCUGAAUCUCCAACGAGGAAUUCCUAGUAAACGCAAGUCAUCAGCUUGCAUUGAUUACGUCCCUGCCCUUUGUACACACCGCCCGUCGCUACUACCGAUUGAACGUUUUAGUGAGGCAUUUGGACCGACGCAUCUCAGUUUAACCGCUGGUUUGUGUUGGAAAGACUUCCAAACUUGAGCGUUUAGAGGAAGUAAAAGUCGUAACA
rnacentral:rRNA from 1 species